GAAAAUCUAAACCUUUAUUUGAACAUACCAUAAUGUUAUCUACCUAAUACUUUAUGUAGUAACUUAAAUGUUUUUAAAGGAGUCAAAGGAGGAAAUGCACAGAGACAUGACAUGAGAACUGGAUACACGUGAAUUAGACAAAGUAGUAGCUAGGUGGUGGGGUGGAGAAGUGAUCAGGAACACAGAAAUUAUUCUAAUUAAGUCGUUCAUAAAUAUAGACUACGUCUAUCCUCAAUUGUUAUUCUUAAAUAUUUCUUUCUCUACUAGGAAUAUUCCUCAAAAAAAAAAUCCACCCUAUCUUUUGAAACAGGUUGUCAUGUUUCCUGAUUCUUCUACCUCUACUUCCCAAGUGCUAAGAGCUGAGGAAACAGGCACCCUCCAGCCACUCUCAGGAGAUGCUGAACAGAAGGCCCUCCUCGUGCCUGCCUAGGGUUUCUCUGUGUAGUCCUAGAUGUCCUGGAAUUCACUUUUUAGAGCAGGCUAUCCUCCAACUCAGAGAUCCACCUGCCUCUGCCUCCGGAGUGCUGGGAUUAAAGGUGCACCACCACCACCUGGCAAGAAUUUUCUGUGUAGCGUGGAGAGCUGUACACUUCUACAUACACCGUAAGUGUUUGGGAUUGGCUUUAUGUUACUUUUUGUGAUUUAUUUUGUACUUUUUAUGAUAAGAAAUAAUAUUGUGCUUACAGGAAAUCAAGGCCCAUAUCCUUCAAUGUUACCUGCUUAGAUCUCUGAGCUUACGUCCUUGACAACAGGAAAUGAAAGCAGUGGGAAUGCCCGGAGCGUGGAAAACAUUGAGCAGAAACAAUGUUACCGAUAACAUGAACCACAGUAUCUUGGAUGUAUGUUACAGCUUUAAUGACCAAGCCAGCUCAACCAGUCAACAGGGUCUCGAGGGAGGGAAUGAGGAUGAAAAUAAAAAGAGACAAUUAGACAACAUUAUAACAUGACUCCAGCCAGUGCUGAAUCAGGUUUGUUUUUUCCCAGGCUGCUUUUUUUUAUCACUCCAGGUACAUGCAAAGAAUAGGGUCAGCUCCCAAAGACAAAGUAGUCAGGGAACAAACAGUAGUAGUAGUAGUAGUAGUAGUAGUAGUAGUAGUAGUAGUAGUAGUAGUAGUCAAGGCAAUAAACAAAGUCCCAUGGUCACUGUGUCUAGGGGUUUAUCAGGACGACCAAGAUACAAGGAAUACAAUACAACCCUCUGCUGUAUUCAUCUUGAGCCUUGUCCUAGCCCAAUGUAAAUGCUCUUGCCAAUAUCCUUGAAGCGGCAUCAAGGGCUCUCCACCCUUUAAGCAUCAUUUUAAGUUGAUAUUAGAUCCAUAAAGAAGUAGUGAAAGGAAAAUUAUACAGAUUUGAGGUUUAAAAAUAUGAAGUUAAAAGAAUAAGUUUUAAAUUCAGACUCAGGGCUA